rnacentral:rRNA from 1 species
UACAGAGGUCUCAAGCGUUGUUCGGAUUCAUUGGGCGUAAAGGGUGCGUAGGCGGCGCGGUAAGUCGGAUGUGAAAUCUCGGAGCUUAACUUCGAAACUGCAUUCGAUACUGCCGUGCUUGAGGACUGGAGAGGAGACUGGAAUUUACGGUGUAGCGGUGAAAUGCGUAGAUAUCGUAAGGAAGACCAGUGGCGAAGGCGGGUCUCUGGACAGUUCCUGACGCUGAGGCACGAAAGCGUGGGGAGCAAACGGG